CCUACGGGUGGCAGCAGUGAGGAAUAUUGGUCAAUGGCCGGAAGGCUGAACCAGCCAAGCCGCGUGAGGGAAGAAGGAUCUAUGGUUUGUAAACUUCUUUUAUAGGGGAAUAAAGGUAUCGACGUGUGGAUAUUUGCAUGUACCCGAUGAAUAAGCAUCGGCUAACUCCGUGCCAGCAGCCGCGGUAAUACGGAGGAUGCGAGCGUUUUCCGGAUUUAUUGGGUUUAACGGGUGCGUAGGCGGUUUUUUAAGUCAGCGGGGAAAGUUUGUGGCUCAACCCAAACAUUGCCGUUGAAACUGGAAGUCUUGAGUGUGGUAGAGGUAGGCGGAAUGCGCGGUGUAGCGGUGAAAUGCAUAGAUAUCGCGCAGAACUCCGAUUGCGAAGGCAGCUUGCUGGGUCCUAACUGACGCUGAGGCACGAAAGCGUGGGGAUCAAACAGGAUUAGAUACCCCAGUAGUC
rnacentral:rRNA from 1 species